UUGAUUUACGAAUGCGGCUAUUUGUAUAGUCGCGCUUGUAAAUCAAACGCUUGAUUUACGAAUGUGACUAUUUGUAUAGCCGCACUUGUAAAUCAAAAU
rnacentral:pre_miRNA from 1 species